AGAGUUUGAUCAUGGCUCAGGAUGAACGCUGGCGGCGUGCUUAACACAUGCAAGUCGAACGGGAAACAUUUUAAUGAAGCUUCGGCAGAUUUAGCUUGUUUCUAGUGGCGGACGGGUGAGUAACGCGUGGGUAACCUGCCUCACACUGGGGGAUAACAGUCAGAAAUGACUGCUAAUACCGCAUAAGCGCACGGGAUUGCAUGAUCCAGUGUGAAAAACUCCGGUGGUGUGAGAUGGACCCGCGUUGGAUUAGCCAGUUGGCAGGGUAACGGCCUACCAAAGCGACGAUCCAUAGCCGGCCUGAGAGGGUGGACGGCCACAUUGGGACUGAGACACGGCCCAGACUCCUACGGGAGGCAGCAGUGGGGAAUAUUGCACAAUGGGGGAAACCCUGAUGCAGCGACGCCGCGUGAAGGAAGAAGUAUCUCGGUAUGUAAACUUCUAUCAGCAGGGAAGAAAAUGACGGUACCUGACUAAGAAGCCCCGGCUAACUACGUGCCAGCAGCCGCGGUAAUAC
rnacentral:rRNA from 1 species